GGUACUCAAUGAAUGCGAUAUAUCCACAUAAAAUUGCAUCAAAAUUUUUCAGUGUAUGUGCACUGUUAGACAAAUAUAUUAUUUGUCAAAUUAACAAUCUGUAGGUCAAGACAAAAUUUUAUCUUACCAAGACCUUUUCAUAAAAAUACAAGGACAAUUAGGGUCAUUCUUUUGUACCCUUUUUCUUCCUUGACUAUUUCAAUCCAUAUAAGGAUUCUUGAAGCUUUAUUGAAAAAGUUUCUUUCAAACUCUUAUAUGCUUCAGACACCUCGAUUGUUUCAAGGAUUUUCAUAUAACCUUCAUUGUCUAGCUAGACAUUAAAAUUAUUCAUUUACACGCAUUCAAGUUUUCAUAUGUUGCCAGAUCAAAACAAACCUCAUUUCAUCCACCAAAGGAGAAAACAUCUCCACUAAUGUCAGGAUUUUUGCGAUAAACCUUUAUGCCCCAAGGCACAAAUCGUAUUUGAUAUCUUACAGUUAUACUAUCGCAUAAUAAUUUAUUUGUACCCCACUGACAUUAUACCUUGAUUUAUGGACUACCAGUCCAAAAUGUCACUUUUCUAAGUGAAACAAAAUAUACUUGAAUUGUGCAUUUUACUUGGCCAACCAUUUAUCUGUUCACACUUUAUGACAGAUUUGAAUUCAAGAUCCUCGUCACAAUUUAUAUCAUUGAGCGCUACCUCAUAUCAAAGAUACCGUCGGCGGUUAUUUGAUAUCGAUUCCAACAAGACAUAACUUAUCGAGAUCUCUUCAUUUUUCAUUAUUUCAUGUACCUGAACCUUUUUCAAGAUUUUAUGAAUUGUUAUGUCAAUGUGCUCUUUUAUAGCACUUGCCUCAUUAUCAUGACCAUAUUGAUCAUUUGCUCCUUCCUUCUUCAAGGAAUUUUAUAUUUGGAAUCGAUUGGUCUAUUACGCUUCCGGCGUACCAUAGACUCUGUCCUUCAAGGACUUCACAUUGGAGCAUUUGCAGCUGAAUUAUAUCAUAGGGUCAGUGCAUUCAUCUGGCAACUGAUUUGCAACAUUAUGCAACUGAAUUAUCUCUUGAACUUUAAGUUCACAUAUUUAUUUUAACGAGGAUCUAGAUAAUUCAUAAUUAACCUCACACAUAAUUUUCAGCUGUCAAUCAUCUCUCCCCCUAAUGUUAGAAAAUCUAACAUUCAUUCCACCCUUAUUUGGAAGUUCAUCUCUGUGCGUGGUGGAGUAAUUAAAAUCAUAACCGCACAUUCAACAUUUUAGAUGAAAAUUAUAUGGUUCCUGACCCUGAACCAAUUUUAAUGGGGAAGCCUUGUUGGUUUGAUGCAUACAUGUGUUGCUACAUGUUAAACAAAAUUAUCUCAUACCAAAUCUUAUUUGGGAGUUCUGUUCUCAUAACCAUGAUUUAGCUAUAAUUGGAGGCAUACAAUUUCUGCUAAAUCAACCAGCAUUAUCAAUAUAAUUUCAUAAUUUGGAACUAUUUCAACCUUACAAAAACCAAUUUGUAAGUUGACAACAGAAUACAUGUGACCAUCGCAUAGAUGCAUUAAUCAUAUAGUUGCAAAUGAUCCACAUGACAGGUGAACGGACCCAUAUUCACCCUUUUAUAUGUUCCAAAAAUUUUAGGGGAUUACAAUCCCGAUCUUAGCUGGUACAAUGAUCAUUUUAUCAAGAGAACAAGCAACACAAGAGAAUUCUUGAAGAAUCUUUAUUUCUUCAUCAUAUAAGUCACCUGAAUUCUCAAUCACGUUUGCAUCACAUUUAAUCGGAAUGGUCAAUCAGUCAUGCCAACUGAUCUUUAUUUUAGUACACUUAUAAUUUACUUUUACAUGUGAUUUCAUCAGCAUGUACAUGUUUGUAUGGAACAAACAAGAGGAAAAGUGGGGUAAUCUUUUACAUAAACAUUUAUAACCCUCUUUGGUUGUAGUGAUUUAUAGUCUCAAUAUUUAUUUUCAAUUCAUCCGAAACUUAAAAAGUUUCUUUUGAGACUUACUACAACCCCAAUAUUAUUCCUCUGAUAAUAGCACAACUCGUUAGAGCUUGCAAUUAAUUUUAUGUACUAUUACAUAUUGCAUGACACCAUCCCUAUGUUGAGCAUCUCCUUCAAGGAGGAAAUUAUAUUAUUAUUGUCAUGGUCAAAAUCAUUACGAGCAAGACGUCUUUCUUGCUUUACUUUUGUUGUACCAUAGGUACACAACCAAUGACAAAUUUGUAUUGCCACACAAUAAUGACCACAAUCCUUAUAGGCAAGAACUAUUUCUUUCUUUUGCCCUUUCGGUAGUUCAUACAAUAGUGACGUAUAAAACGUACAAUACAAUUAGCCAUUUCUGCCAAAUAAAAUUUAUUUCCUCUCAAAUCUCCCGUAGAGAUGAGAAGUGACAUGUAUCAUUUUUUCUCAAACCUUCCACAGAGGUGAGUUGUGACAUAUAUCCAACCCAUAAUGAUUUUAUCACAUCUGGACCCAUUCUCUUAUAGAAUGGUCGAGCAUUCACGAUACUCAUUACAAGUCACAUUCUCUUCAAGGAUUGGACUAAUUAUUUAUAUGUACUUCAUAAAAUUUGCAUUAUAAGCACAUUGUCAUGACUUUAAAAUUCAUCAUAUUUCCAUGACACACCUCAACAUCACUUUGAAAGAUUAAGUGUACCAUCACUUUAUCUUGUAUCAUGAUAGAGGAUUUAUAAAUUUGUCAAAUUAUUGGGUUGACAACAUUCACAAGUCUAAUGACCUUUCAUAUCCAUUUUGAUAAAAAUUGCCUUCACAUUUUGAAGGACUAUUUGAAGAACUCAUAGUGUUCUUCCUUUUAUCAUUACCACAAUGAUGACUAUUAUAAUUAUGUCCCUCCACGCCCUUAUUCAUAUCAUUAAUCAUUUGUCAUCUUUCAGACUAACAUUCACGGCUACCACAUUCGUAUGAUUGAAUGGAGCAAGUUAACAGGCGGAUUUCAGAGUUAUUACAUGUUGCUACCACAUUCUUUUCAAGGAAUGAAGCAAAUUCAAUAGAACGAAUUUCAAGACUUUUCAUCAAAGCCUAGUCAUCAUUAUAUCAUCAUUAUGGUGCAUUGACUCAAACUCAAUGUCUUAUCCAUAUAAGGCGUUUUACGUCAUAAUUCUAUGGGACUUGAACCCAAUCACGGUGCAUCAAAACUCAAAUUGAUGUCUUACCCUUUUGGUGCGAUAGAACUUGAAUCUAUCGUCUUAUCCCCAAAUAUUUUUAUUAUGAUGCAUCCGGACUUUAACCUGAUGUCUUACCCUUUUGGUGCGAUGAAACUUGAAUCCAUCGUCUUACCCUUAACCAACGGUAUAAUAAAUCGAAGUACAACAUGACUCAUCCUUUGAGUCUUUCAAAACAAUCAAAAUAACAUUCAAAUUCAUGCUAUUAAAAUCUUACACCUUUUUCUAUUUAAGAAAUUUUGUAUAGCAUGUCAUAUUCAACCAAUAGUAGUAUAUGUCUUCGGUUCCUGAUAAUUGUUAGUGACUGAACACUAUUUUAUUCUAAAUCAUAAAAUAUUUUAGAAAAUACAUACCUGAUUUUAUGCAUACAAUACUUUGAUCUUUAUAACGAGAUCAACCAAAAUAUGAGCUAAAGUAAAACUAAAACUCAAUCUCAAUUGGCUAGAGACUCGUGCUGAUAACGUGUUAUAAAAUCAAGCUCAUAAGAAUAUAAUCAUAAAGAGAAGAAGACAUGAGAAGUAGAUAGUAGAAGAGGAAUUUUCUUCUUAUUCAAGUGUAUGUAAGUCUCAUCUGUAUCUAUAUUACAAUAGUGAAUGAACAACCCUAUUUAUAGAGUGAGAAAUCACUCCAAAGGUCACCAUAUUAAGUAUCAUAAUAAAUAGGUACAUUCUUAUCCAAAAAGGUUCAUGUAACCUAGUGAAUAUGAAUGGUUGUUCAUGUACCAACCUUAUGGACUAUCCACUCAUUCAAUAAAUUUAUAACACCCCCUUGGAUGUCCAUAGAUAAUGUGCCUCGUUAAAACCUUACUAGGAAAAACCCUGUGGGAAAAAAUUAUAGUGAAGGAAAAAGAGUACACAUAUCUUUUGAUACGCACUAUUUGUUGCCUCAUUAAAAACCUUGCUAGGAAAAACCCAGUGGGAAAAAACCUCGGUCAAGGGAAAAAGAGUGCAACGCGUAUUAUACUCCCCCUGAUUAAAACAUCACUUAAUUUCUUGUGAUGAUGUCUCCAAUCUUCGUACAUUGUGGUUGGUAUAUUCUUUUUCAAAGAAAAAUCACACAUUUCUUGAAUAUGGUGUGUCACUUAUCUCAACCAGACGCACUUUCGACUUGCUUCAUGGAGGACUUUUAUUUCUGCAUAACAACAUUUGUUUCAUUGAUCGCCAGGAUAUUAUUGUGCCUCCACAUGCAAACACAUAGCGUUCUUGAGAUAGAUCUUUAUGCGGAUCAGAUAAAUAUUCUGCAUCUGCGUAACCAAUCAAUUUUGUCUUGGAUUCCUCGGGAUAGAAUAAACCCAUAACUAUGAUCCUUCGAGGAUAUUCAAUCAUGUGCUAAACACCAUUUCAAUGUCCUUUUAUCGGGGAGAAAUUGAAUCUUGCCAGUAAAUUUACUGCAAAACAAAUAUCUGGUCAAAUAUUGUUAGUAAGAUGCACUAGUGCCCUGAUUGCACCAAGAUAGAGUUUCGUCACCAAGAAACUCUUCAUCCUUCUUUUGAGAUCAAACUGAAUCAUCAUUUAUGCCAAGUGAUCUCAUAAUCAUUGGGGUACUCAAUGAAUGCGAUAUAUCCACAUAAAAUUGCAUCAAAAUUUUUCAGUGUAUGUGCACUGUUAGACAAAUAUAUUAUUUGUCAAAUUAACAAUCUGUAGGUCAAGACAAAAUUUUAUCUUACCAAGACCUUUUCAUAAAAAUACAAGGACAAUUAGGGUCAUUCUUUUGUACCCUUUUUCUUCCUUGACUAUUUCAAUCCAUAUAAGGAUUCUUGAAGCUUUAUUGAAAAAGUUUCUUUCAAACUCUUAUAUGCUUCAGACACCUCGAUUGUUUCAAGGAUUUUCAUAUAACCUUCAUUGUCUAGCUAGACAUUAAAAUUAUUCAUUUACACGCAUUCAAGUUUUCAUAUGUUGCCAGAUCAAAACAAACCUCAUUUCAUCCACCAAAGGAG
rnacentral:lncRNA from 1 species